CUUUCCGUCACUGCACGUGCGCACUUCCUCUCCCCCUUGGAAAGACAAACGGUUCGGAUGCCUGCAAGUUUCGGCGAGGAUACGCUUUUCACGCGUUGGCAAAGCGUAAGCUCCAGGAAUGCCUGCUUGGCAUAAAAUGCAGCAUAUGCAUUAGCUGUGGCUCUCCCCGGGUGGACAUACAGAUCAUCUCUAUUACUACCGGGCCAGAUACGGAGCCCAGAAUGACAUCCAGCAUAGAGGAUAAAGUCACAUCUUGCAGCAGACCGACGUACCUGAUUCUUUCCCUUAAGCAUCAGGAUAUUGGUGACCUUCCCAAAAGCCACGCCCGACGUGACGCGAAUCUAUUCCGGCAAGCUGAGCCGUCCGGCUUCUGGAAGCCGGCAGAAACGAUGACGUGGAAGAUGCACAGGACACCCUCACGAUCGCUUCGAGCAGAUGGCAUGGCCGAUACAAGCCUCAUAACCCCACUGUCAGAAGCUGCACUUUCUGGAGGGGAAUCACCUUGGCAAAAAAAUCCAUCUCUAUAAGCAGCAAAAACAAGGCGGAAACUCCAUGACCCAGCAAAACGGGGUCUACGAAUCGGAAUGAGGUGGCCAGUCUUGGGGGCUUAAAGGAGCCAUCGCUGUCUCCCUUGGGCUCGAGCAAGGAGAUCUGACCCAUUCGGGAAUCGGGCCGGUCCACAGGAA